GAGGGCAUUUUUACUGAUACUGUGAAUCCGGAGUUUGAAGCAUGGAUUCAACAAGAUGCUAUGGUUAUGUCCUGGAUCAAGAGCUCUGUUCAUCCCACUGUGUUGGGUGCCCUAAUCGGGAAAACCAGUUCUCAUUCUGCAUGGAUCUGUCUGCGCGAACGCUAUGAUUUGCAGUCCACUGGCCGUCUUCUUCAACUUCGCAGUGAGCUGAUGAACACCCACCGUGGUGACUCCUCCAUUGCUGAGUUUCUCGGUCGUGUCAAUUGCCUCGCUGAGACUCUCUCCUUAUCCGGUGCUCCUGUUUCUGAGUCAGAUAUUGUUGCCAUUGUUCUCAACAAUGUUGGUCCUGCAUAUGAAAGCACCGUGGCUUCUGCUCAGGCUCGUGAUGAAGCCAUAUCUUACAGUGCUUUGGAGGCCCUUCUGCUCAGCGCUGAGCGCAGUCAAGAGAUGGAUACAGUCUUCUCUGAUGAUACUGGACCUACUGCUCUCGCUGCUGCUUGUGGCGGUUGUCCUGGUACCUUUCGUGGUUGUGGCGAAGGCUAUGGACGUAUUCGUGGUGGUAUGAGUACUUUGUUUUUAAUCCUCUUUCCUUUUUUAUUUUCGGUUGGCCUCAUUUUGAUUUUUGUUUUCAUAGGCACAAGUGCUAGUUCUAGAAUGGCUUACAUUCCAACACACAAGCGGCACUUGAAGGAAUCGGAGAGGACAUUGCUGACAUCAGAGCUGCUUGCUUCACAAUUGAAGAAAAACUUAAAUGUCAAUCCAUGUAACAUGUCUAAUGUGGAUGGGACUGGAAGAAUAGUUUAUGCAGACCAUCCUACACAUAGAUGGUGUGCCGUAGCUUUGGAUGACGAGAACCAGUUUCCAUCUUCUGUUAAUCUUGAACCUGUUACCUUGGAGUCUGCUGAGCCGAAAAUUGGAAAUAAAUUUCUAGCUUUGAUCAAUACUAGUAUAGAUAACGGUUAGUACUCUAGCAUUUCUUUUAGUGCGUUUAUGUUGUAUGUUAUUACUUGGGUUGUGGAUAUGUUUGGUUUUGUUUUUCAUGGUUGAUACGUGACAGAAGGCGGUGAGGUGAAAUUGAAUUCGCGAAGGAGCCUUGGGGCAUCUAUAGCAGAAAAUGUGCUGGAAGACUUAGUUUCUUCUUUCGAACACAUGAGGAAUGAAAUGAAGUGUGCAAAGCUCACAGAAGUAAAUCCUACUUUGGUUGCUAGAGUGGGCAAAGUACUUUUUCGUAGGUCAGAUUUCUUCCUUCACCGAUUCAUUGGUUAGCUAUUGAGCCUAUUGUGCCAGUCAUUUAGUUAAUUGUUUCUUGCGAUUAUCCUUUUUACCUUUAUGUUGUUCUUUCAUCCGCCUCAGAAUACUUGUUGAAGCAGAACAAUAUAAUGGUCUAUACUAUGAUAAAAGGUUACAUUUGGCAUUUUAGUUUAAAUGGUAGGAUUCCAAGUUGGACAGUGAAGCAGGAUUCUAAAACUCUGCCCUUGUUUUUCGAUACUUGAUACAAUAUUAUCUUUGGUAUCGAUGCUUAAGUAUUGUUAAUCAUCUAGAUUUCUUAUUAAUUUUGUACACGAACAGAUGUAUAACGAUCUUUAUUCAAAUCUUUGAAUCAGGGUCCCUUCAGUUAGCAUCGAAUCCAUCAGAAGAAAUUUGUGUCCUGAAAUCUUGAAACGAUGGGGGCGAUCGUUUUACCCAAAUGUUCCUGUUUCAUAUAAGGAAAGGAUUGUGAACGAAGUUGUCCCACAAAUUGGAGUUGAUUUCGAAGAGGAGGAAGAUAUAUACGAAUUACAGGUAUUUCUGUUAGACAUGUCAACUUACUGAGUUCUGAGUUCAUGUUUUCCACAAUUCUGACUGUAGCUAUGAAUUGCUCAUUUAUUUUCUUCUUGUGUAGUUGUCUGAUUCUACGAGUCCAGAUCCAACUCUCUCCUGCAAAUGUCGGGUAAUGAAGGAACAUGGAACGCUACAACUCUACGAGGCAAGUUUUCUAAUUCAUGCCAACUAAAUUUGAUGGAACUAUAUAUGCUGCGGCAAUCUCACGGUUGAGUUGCCACAAUAGUGAUUCGAUAAUUUAGAUAUAAUAUUUAUGCUGCAAAUAUGAGUGUUGUAUAACAAAACUAAAUGUUCAACCACUGAAUGUGAUUGAGCUCUCCAAUUGUUGAAUAAUUUGAGAGGAACCUUUCCAGAUCAUUAAUAUUUUCAGGACCCUUCCCUCUCUUAAUUUGCCCUGUUGCUUGGCUUAGGGUUUAUAUCCUGAGACUUACAUCGAAAUGUCAACUUUCUUUCAGAUCAAAUUGAAACCAGUGCGUAAAAUGGUAAUGGACAUUUCAUGCACUACUAAGAAUCUGGACCUGAGGCUAAUGCUAUGCACUAAGAGACUCGUAACUGAUCUGACUGUAAGCUGCUUCACUCCGUCCUUUAGAAAUUUACAUUUCUAUUCCUUGUUUCAGCAAAGAUUCCUAUACCUAUCUUCAAGCCACAAUCAAAACAAAGAAUAGAACUUUUUCUAGAAAUGUAACGGGACCAUGUUGGUGAACUAUACUGGACCCCUAGCUGAAAUUAUGCUUCUUGGAAUGAAGUUUCGUGAUCAUAUUAAUUGGUGCUAUUUCAGGAUGAUGAGAUGCAAAGCAUUACGGAUCUCGUUAAUUCUGCGAUUCUAGAUCCAGAAGUGAAGGGUGGAUUGAGAUGGCCCCUGGGGAAGGAGUCUUCUGGAGAUAAAUACAAAGUUCUUAGGGUUUGGCACGUAAGAGCUAAUACGUAUAGAAAUUCAUCACUGAGAUUGAAAGUAAAACACUAUGACCGAUUUGAUUUUAGAACCCUAACCGGGGAAGCUUCUUGGGUGGCGAGUCUGGUGCUGGAAAACGUAAUGUCAAAGUUACGGGUAAACGCUGCCUUUUCUCUUGGACCCUUUUUUUUAGUUCAUGUGCUGAAAUAAAAGAUAUUUUUGAGAAGGUUUAUCCUGCGUUGAAAUCUCCUUUUCUUUCCAUUUUCAGGAAGAAAAUGUCGAAGUCAGCUCGGUUUAUGAGAUGCUUAAGGAAAAUAUGCAGUUUAUAUGGGAUAACUUCUUGAGCUGUGAAAGUUUUUUAACAUGAAAUUGCUUGUUGUUGUAAAUCAGUGAUCACUGUCUAUUCGACUUGUAUAUAUCUGUUUCCUUCCUUAGUUUUAUGUUCAACUUUUAGCAUCGUUUGAUGGAUAAUUAGUAACUGUUUUAUUGAUUUCUUGCAAUUCUGCUAUCUAUUUGUAUCUGGCAUAGUUGAUGGUUAAUGCACUUUUGGCAAUUUCAUUUCGAUGACUUCAUUGCCAGUAACUGCUUCGGCUCAGGUACUUCCUUACAACCAAGAUGGUUAGUGAAAUUUUUGUAGUUUCUUUUUGCCUUGCUACGAAUUUUAAGCAAAGUUCUGGUUUUAAAAUGGCUUACGUCCCCCCACAAGCGGCAGUUAACGGAAAAGGGGAGGCCCGUUACCAACACUGGAGCUGCUUGCACCCCAGUUCAAGAAAAAUUUAAAUGUGAAGCCAUCGAAGUAUAAUUUUGAUACAAGAUUUCUUUAUGCAAACCAUGCUAUAUCGAGAUUUUGCACCAUUGGUAUGGAUGAUCAGAAUUCAGAACCAGUUUCCAUCUACCGUUAUACUUGUGCCCAUUUCCUUGGAAUCUACCGAGUCGAAUAGUGAAGAAAAACCUCUAGCUUUGAUAGACUCCUGUCUAGAUAAUAGAAAGCAGUAGUCUAGCAUAUGGUUAAUAUAGGUGAAGUUGUGCUUGAGGACCUAGUUUAAAAUAUGGUACAGAAACUGGUUGGGAGGCUGUUUUUGGAAAUGCUCGUUUCAAAGUUACAGGUAAGUCUUGUAUUUUUCUCUGAAAAUCAAAUAUCUCUGAACCAAGAAAAGAUCUAUCAUGUGUUCAUAGUAACAUGACGUCGAUCUUAUUCUUUAGAUUUUUCAGGAAGAAAAUGUUAAAAUUCUUAACAAAGAAGAUCAGAAUUACAGAAGAAAGAAGAAAGAAGGAAUAUAGAGAAUGUAGAAGAAGACCUGGAAAUAAAACUAGAGAGAAUAUGAAAAGUUUUGUAUUGAUAGAAUGGUUAUUUCUUACAAACAUUAGACUGCAAAUGGCCUUUUUAUAUCCCUCUAGUAGUCUAACUACCUUGCUUACUGUGUAAGCUACACAUAACCCUCCUAACUAACUUUUAACAGAAAUAUUGAUGACAUGGCAGAUUAUAUGGCAUUCACUUGAGUCAAUAUCAGUCAACAUCCCCCCUCAAUCUCAACUAGGGAAACCAAGUUUGAGAUUGAAACAAUGACGAGUGAACGGCGGACUAUGUAAUCCUUUAGUAAGAAUAUCAGCAGUCUGUUCAUCAGUGGGAAGAUAUUCAACCAACAAAUCACCAUGAUGCACCCUUUCACGGACAAAAUGAUAAUCCGUAUCAAGGUGUUUGAUUCUCGAAUGAUACACUGGAUUAGCACUGAGUGCUAUUGCAGAUUUAUUAUCACAGAAUAUAGUUGGUUGAAAAGGUAAUACAACGCCCAAAUCUUUCAAAAUGAGCCGAAUCCAAGCCACAUCUGCUGCAGUAUGAGCAAGUGCCUUGUACUCCGCCUCGGUAGAACUUCGAGAGACGGAUGAUUGCUUCUUUGACUGCCACGAGAUUGGAUUUCCACCAAGAUAGACCACAUAACCAGUCACAGAUCGUCUUGUGUUCAAAUCAGCAGCCCAAUCAGCAUCAGAGAAUGCUGUCAAAUGUAUGUCAGUAUCAGCUGCAUAUGUAAUGCCACACUCUGCAGUGCCUUGAAGAUAUCUAAGAAUUCGUUUGACAGAAAUGAGAUGUAAAUCUGUCGGAGCAGUCAUAAAUUGACACACUGAAUUCACAGCAUACGCUAUAUCAGGACGUGUAAAUGUGAGAUAUUGCAGGGAACCAACCAAACUUCUGUACAAUGUAGAGUCCUGCAAUGGUAUUCCCUCAUGCAAGAGCAUUUGAUUGUGAGGUUUUCAUGGUGUAUUGGCAGGUUUACAAGAUUCCAUUCCAGCUUUAUGAAUAAGAUCUUUAACAUACUUUGAUUGAUUGACAAAUAUGUCUCCAUUCUCCUUGUAGUGAAUCUGAAGACCCAGGAAGUAAGUAAGUCUGCCCAUAUCCUUUAAGUAAAAAACACAUGUCAAAUCAUCAAUAACUUGCUGAACUUUGCUAGGAUUGGAUCCUGUCAAAAUGAUGUCAUCUACAUAUAGUAAAAGAAUCACCACAUCCUUGUCAUCAUUCUUCACAAAUAAACUUGUAUCCGAUGAAGAUGGUACAAAUCCCAAAGCUGGUAAAUAGGUUGUGAACUUUGAAUUCCAUGCCCGAGGGGCUUGCUUCAACCCAUACAACGAUUUAAUCAACUUACAGACAUAAUGGGGUUUAGUUUGAUCAACAAACCCUUGAGGCUGUUUCAUAUACACCUCUUCUUGCAAGUCACCAUGCAGAAAUGCAUUUUUGAUAUCUAAUUGCCUCAAAUCCCAUUUAUUGAUAGCUGCUAAGGACAAAAUGAGUCUUACAGUAGUGUGUCGGACUACGGGACUAAAAGUUUCUGAGUAAUCAAUGCCUGGUUCUUGGGAAAAACCUUGAGCCACGAGUCUGGCUUUAUACCUCGAUACACUACCAUCAGGAUUCUUCUUAACCUUAUAUACCCACUUACUGCCAAUAAUAGUUCUAUUUGGUGGAGAAGAAACCAAUUGCCAAGUUCCUUGAGCUUUGAGUGCAUUAAACUCUUCUUGCAUUGCACUUUGCCAAUGUGGACAUGUAGAAGCUUUUCGGAAUGUUGAGGGUUCCUCCAAAUCCUGUAUUGCAGCAAUAAAUGAAAAUCCCCCAGUAAAGUCACACUCAUUAUCCAUCUGGAGAGUUUGUAAUUCUGGAAAUGAACCAAUAUAACCUGUGUAAGAUAUUCGGGAAAUGGUACCUGACUUCAACCUGGUGACCAUAUUGUGAGCUGAUUCUUCAUUAGUUUCAACCACAGGAGAAGAGAUUGGUAGGAUUACCUCUAACUGAGAAGAACUAUGGACAGGCAACAAUGAUAUUGUACUUGGAGGUGAUGUUAAGAGAGUAUGAGAGCUAUGAGUAUGAGCAUUGAGAUCCUGAGAAACUUGACUUGAUGAGCUUGGAACCUGUAAGCUAUCCAUUGGUUGAUCUUCCAUAAUAUCUGGAUUGGCAGAUGACCCAGCAAGGGUUGGGGAGGAUAUGGGAUCAGGAGCAAAACAUGGUAUUUGAACCAUGAUUGGAAACAUUGUUGUACUCUGGACCUUAUUGAACUUCCCAGAAGACAACUGCAGUCUUGAUUUAAAUGGAAAUGUAGUCUCAUCAUGCACCACAUGUCUUGACAAUACUAGUUUAGUACUACUCAAAUCAUAACAGACUACACCUUUAUAUCCAGCCACAAAACCAAGAAAAACACAUUGCUUCGACCUAGGUUGCAAUUUAUGUUUAGUAUACGGCCUUAUGAAUGGAUAAACUGCAGAUCCAAAUAUCUUCAAUGUAUGCAACACAGGGUCUUGUUUAAACAUGAGCUGAUAUGGAGACUUCAUCCCCAAAACCUUACACGGCAUUCUGUUAAUCAGAAAUGCAGCAUGAGUACAAGCAUAAUUCCAGAACUGUAAUGGAACUUCAGCCUCGGUUAAAAGUGUGAUAGCAGUCUCUACGAUGUGCCUAUGUUUCCUCUCAGCAAGACCAUUCUGCUGAGGUGUGUAAGGACAUGAUAUGGAAUGUGCAGUUCCUUUGAGUGCCAAAAAAGACUGAAAUCUGUUACUCAUAUAUUCAGAACCACCAUCAGUCUGUAAGCACUUAAUUAUAGAAUUGAACUGAGUUGUAACAAACGCAAAAAACUUAACAAAGACUUGGAAAACCUCAGAUUUAUUGAUAAUAGGGAAGAUCCAUACAAAUCUUGAGAACUCAUCCACAAAACUUACAUAGUAUCUAAACCCUUCUAGAGACUUAACUGGAGCAGGCCCCCAAAUAUCAGAAUGUACUUUUUCAAACAUAGAACUAGCCCUAGUUUCUUUGACAGGAAAGGGUUGUCUACACAUUUUUCCAGAAAGACAUGAAGAACAAACAGAAGGUGAUGAAUCUACACUAACAGGCUGUCCAACAUUUCGAAGCAUAACAUCAAGCACUUCGGCAGAAGGAUGCCCAAGCCUCUUAUGCCAAACAGAAGUCUUUACAGCUUUCCCAAGUAAUGCAACAGCUUUAUUUUGACCAGCAACCAAUCUCCUUGAAAACACAAUCACAGGGAUCUCAUAUAACUCUCCCCUACUCUUGCCGUGGUACAACAUCAUUCCUGUUGCCUUGUCCUGUAUAAAAAAGACACUCUCAUCACAUAUAAACCAGCAAUGAUUAUCUUCACAUAAUUUCUUAACAGAUAAGAGAUUAACAGUAAUGGUUGGAACAUGUAAGACAUUCUUGAAAAACAGUAAAUGUGGUGGAGUUGAAAGUGUUGUAGAACCAAUAUGAGUAACAGCCAAACCUUCCCCAUUACCAAUAGUGAUUUUCUCAUCACCAUUAUACUGCACAGGUUGAUUGAGAUUCCCAAGAUUAGAUGUCAUAUGGUGUGAAGCACCAGUGUCCAACACCCAUGUAUCAGCUGCAGAGAAAUGUUGAACAUUCUGACCAUAUUCUGCAGCAGUCAUGUGAGAUGGAGCGUGAGCAGAAAAUGCAGUAAGAGAAGGAGGUGGAGGUGCCCCCUGAUAGGAAUAGUUAUUCCUAUGUCUACAAUCCAGAGCAUGAUGACCUUUCUUUCCACAAAUUUGACAGAUUAGAACCUGAUAACCAUCAGUCAUAUUCGAACAAGUGGCAGCAGUAUGACCUCUGCGAGAACAAAUCUGACAUUCAACUAUCGGACCUGUUUUGAAGGUAGUAUUACCAUUCCAAGAAGACCUAUUCCCAGUAGAAGAAUUAUUAUAGUUGUUUCCCCAUCUCUGUCUAUUCCCAUUGUAAUAAGGCCUUGAAUUAUUGAAAGACCCAUAACCACUUCUGUUAUAGUUCUGAGAAGUAUUAGACCCCUGAGAAUUAUUAAACCCAUUUCUGUUUUGAAACCUGUUGUUCCCUUGAUAGCCUUAAGUAUCACCAGUGUGUGAACCAGCAUUUGAACUCUCUCCUUGUGAAUACCCGGAAUUCUGAUGACCACCUGUAACUCUAUCUCCUUGAACAUACAUUGUAGCCAUGCCACUGGCCAGAGUAGUGACUCUUGCUUCCAUAGCAGAUUCAACACCAAUCAACUGCGCCCUGAAAUCUUUCAGUGGAAUAGAAGUCUCCCUUGCUAAAACUACAGCCUUGAUAAUAUCAAACUCCGAUGGUAAUCCAGAUAAAGCAGUAAUAACAACAUCAUUAUCAGUAAUCCUCUCCCCUGCAGACACAAGCUGAUCACGAAUGGCUUUCAACCGAAGCAAAUACUUGUCAAUAGAAUCACUGCCUUUUUGAAUUGUAUGAAACUCAAUUUUGAGUUGAUUAAUCCUAGCCCUUGACACGGACGCAUAUCGGUCUUGUAAGUUUACCCAAGCUUCAUGAGACGUUUUACACCCUAUGACAUAUUCCAUAGCAUCAUCCGACAAAGUAGCAAUUAACAGACUCAAUAGUGCCAUAUCUUUCUGAACCCAAGAUUUAUAAGCUGCUGUGAUUUCUGUAGUCACUCCACUCUCAGUGUUAAUCACAAACUUUGGUGGACAAGGAGACUCACCAGUAAAAAAUUCAAAGAAAUCAUACCCUCGUAAAACAGACUGAAACUGAUAAUUCCACUUAACAAAAUUGUCAUCUUGCAACUUCACAGUUAACAUACCAAGCAAACUUUCAAUGCGUACUGAUUUAUCAGACAUCUUUAUCACGUAUUACUGACAAGCAAACAAUCUCAAUCACAAAUUUGUUUAACUCCAAACUACAACAAUGAUCACUACUUCAAGAUAUUUGCACUACUUCUUGGCAUCGGCCUUCUAUAUGUAUAUACUUCAAAAGCUAAAAUUUCAGCAAUAUCACAAAUGAACAACUUCAACCAUAUCACACCACAAAUAUAAAUCUGCUAUUGUCUGGCAUCAGCCUUAACCGAAUCCAACAAGGAACCCAUAUAUGAAAAACCACAAGAAACAACCCAAAUCGCCAUAUAUCUUCACUGAAGUAAAAACACAAACACUUGAUGUGCAAAGAAUAACGAAAGAAACCAACAACCUGAUUGAAAGAUCCUCGACCCAAAAUUCAUCAAGACAGCACCAAUCCUCCAAGAACUCCAACAACGCCUUCAACGAUCAAUCUCCAAGACUUACUCAGCGGAAGAAAAUCCCAAAAAAAAAAUCAACCUUGGCUCGAUACCAUCUUAACAAAGAAGAUUAGAAUUACAGAAGAAAGAAGAAAGAAGGAAUAUAGAGAAUGUAGAAGAAGACCUGGAAAUAAAACUAGAGAGAAUAUGAAAAGUUUUGUAUUGAUAGAAUGGUUAUUUCUUACAAACAUUAGACUGCAAAUGGCCUUUUUAUAUCCCUCUAGUAGUCUAACUACCUUGCUUACUGUGUAAGCUACACAUAACCCUCCUAACUAACUUUUAACAGAAAUAUUGAUGACAUGGCAGAUUAUAUGGCAUUCACUUGAGUCAAUAUCAGUCAACAAAAAUCCGCUUGAUUUCUAAUAUGCUGCAGGACGAUGUGCAGUUGAUAUGCUGUGAACCUUUUCUAACAUGCAAUGAAACUACGUGCAUGCUGCAACCUCUCACUAAUGAAGUAAUCGUGUGCUGCUUCGUUGUAAACCUAUGUAGUCGCAAUUAAGUGCUUAUUGGGAGAGUGAUUUGCUUUGCUUAAUUAGGUGUUCGUGAUAUCAGGAUGUUAACUUUUGCUGGAGUAUGUAUCGUAUUAGGAGAUUCUACCUAAAGUUCGAGAACUUUUUCAACGUUCCGAGAACACUACCGGGUACACUCAAGUAUCAUAAUACAAUUAGUUAAAAAAAAAAAUUUAAGUAUCCAGCCAAUUAUGUUAUUACAUGGUGUGCCAGACCAUGUUCCCGGCACACAAAAAUUUCUUCUAAAGUCCAAUUGAUAAAUAGGUGGACUAUAUAUACGCUUGAGGUUCUACAAUAAGUUCUGAUAAACUAAUGCAAAAUCUUUUAACUUUUUGGUGACAGACAAUACUCAAUAUCACACAUUAAAGAUUCAAAUAAUGUUUAUACAUUAAUUUGUAAUUUCAUUUUUUAACUUUCUGAUGAAGAAGAUGAAGGGUUUCUUCUUCAUAUUGAUUUGUUGUCAGAGAAGAAAGUUUUCUUUAAAUUGAUUUUCUUUAAUAAUGAAUAUCUAUCUUUUAAUUGGUUUUUUAUUCACGCGGCACAAAUUUUGUGGGGCCAACUACAUCCACAUGGACAAAUAACAAAGAAACUAACAUAAAUUGAUACAGAUUUAAGACAUUUAUACAAAAUCGUGAGUCGUCGUAUGAAAUUGAAAAAAUUAAAAAACAUACGAAUUUGAAAUUGGACGAAAACUUGAGGAGAAAAAAAAAUGUAAUCUACCUUUUUUUAACAUUUUUCGGUGGGUUAGAUGAUUUGCAUCACAAAUUUUUGGCCCACUGAACUCCAAAAAUGGCUUUUGAGUUGUAAAAUGAGCAUUCCUAGAUAAUUUAUUCUUUAUUAAACUAAAAUAGAAUUUCAAUUUCACGAAGCUAAUUUUAUUCUUUAUAUCCUCUAGUGGCAAUUCAGUAAUAGGAUCCGGUGGUAUGCCUCUUUAUUUAAAAAUGAGAGGUCUUAGGUUCAAAUCUCGUUGAUGACGAAUUCGAUACCAAAUUAGGUUGCUCAUUGUAUAGGUUAGCCUAACUCUCAUCCCAUUAGUGUAAAAAUAUUAAUGUACUUGACACGCCCCGACCCUGAUAUUCCCCGAAUACCAGGAUAGACACGUGUUGGCCGACACCUGAGGGUGAUGAAAGCCAUUAAUUGAUACAAAAGCUAAGAAUAAGAAAUAAAUAAGGGUUAGAAAUUUAAAAUACAAGGAAUUAAUAAUUUAGGAACGUGCUCAGAGCAUACAACUAAAUCUAAUCACUAAAAAGAAUUAAGAUAAAAUUUAAUGAAUAGAGGAGUGGGUCCUACAUCGAGAGGAUUCGAAAAUGUUGCUGUAGAAGUGCCUUGACGUCGGGAUUAGGUGCCUUGACGCCGGGAUUAGGUGUCUUGAUUCUAAGUCCUGAAUGGGAGCGCAAAACAAAGGUGAGUGGACCAAGUUCAUAUAUAUAUAAUAAUAAAACAGUUAUCAAAGUAAUAACCCCCACAGUUUAAUAAUGAAAACUACUAGCAUAAUAAGUGAUGGAUUUAAUAAAAACCCUAGCAUGCCAAAGUAUCUCAAAAGUCACAUCGCGGAAACGCAUCGCGGAAAUCAAAACGGUAAACGCAUCAUAAAUCGUCUCGUAAACGCGGUGUGCUGCUAGAAAGAUCACCGAAUAAAUAUAACUCCUGGCCCAAUGCCUGCUCCGUGGUCUCUGCGCCCGUAGCCAGAGAUUACCAACUCCCGGCCCAAUACCUGCUCCAUGUCCCUCAGCCCGUAGCUAGGGAUUAUUUCUCCCAGCCUAAAUGCCAACACCAGUUCCUCGCCCCAGGCGGCAUAGUGUCUACUAGGUACGCACAAAUAGUUAUGACACGCCCCGACCCUAAUAUUCCCCGAAUACCAGGAUAGACACGUGCUAGCCGACACCCGAGGGUGACGAAAGCCAUUAAUUGAUACAAAAGCUAAGAAUAAGAAAUAAAUACGGGUUAGAAAUUUGAAAUACAAUGAGUUAAUAGUUUAGGAACGUGCUCAGAGCAUACAACUAAACCUAAUCACUAAAAAGAAUUAAGAUAAAAUUUAAUGAAUAAAGGAGUGGGUCCUACCCCGAGAGGACUCGAAGAUGCUGCUGCGGAAGUGCCUUGACGCCGGGAUUAUGUGCCUUGAUUCUAAGUCUUGAAUGGGGGCGCAAAACAAAGGUGAGUGGACCAAGUUUAUAUAUACAAUAAUAAUAAAACAGUUAUCAAGAUACUAACCCCCAAAGUUUAAUAAUGAAAACUACUAGUAUAAUAAGUGAUGGAUUUAAAUCAAAAUCCUAGCAUGCCAAAAUAUCUCAAAAGUCACAUCGCGGAAACGCAUUGCGGAAAUCAAAACAGUAAACGCAUCAUAAAUCGUCUCGGAAGCGCGGUGUGCUGCUAGAAAGAUCACUGAAUAAAUAUAUCUCCCGGCUCAAUGCCUGCACCUAAGUCUCUGCGCCCGUAGCUAGAGAUAACUACCACCCGGCCCAAUGCCUCUUCAUGUCCCUCAGCCCGUAGCUAGGGAUUAUUUCUCCCGGCCUAAAUGCCAACACCAGAUCCUCGCCCCUGGCUGCAUAGUGUCCACUAGGUACACACAAAAUGUUACGCCUCUCGUAAAUAACCACUUCAUAGCAUAGGUUACCGAUCAUCGUCUACACUAUAAAGAGGGGUUCAAAAACAUGUUCUAGCAUCCUAUCGUCAUUUAUCAGAUAGUCUACCAGUUCAUAGUUUUUAUAGAAAAUACGAUAUAUUAAAAUAUAGCUCAAUAUAGGCCAACAAUUAAUUCCUCACCAAAAACACGAGACGAUAAUCAAUAUAUUAAAUCAUCAGGCUUCACAUAAAUCAGAUCAUAAAUUCGUAGGCAUGCUAAUCAUUUAUGCAAUUAAAUUAUCAAAUCAUGUAAUUUUAGAAGGGGUCCACUCACAGUACUUAGUUAUCAAAAGCUGCGCCACUAGCGAAGACGGAAACAUCACAAUAAUUGCCCCUAAGCACAUAAAGAGUCUAAUAAAUAAAACUAUAUAAUAGCAAUUGAAUUUGGGAAAACGGACAUUGGAAAUGGAUUCAGAACGUCGAAUUACCCUAAGAAAGGUCCCGGACGAAAACCCGAAAAGUCAACCCUAAAGUCAACGUUGAUCGGGGAUCAACGGUCAAUUUAGGUCUAACGGGUUUUAGGCUUGAAAUCCGGAUUAGGGUUUAGGUUAAAUAGGAUUAGGAUUUAUUGGGUUUUGGAAUUCUAAGGCUUUUUGGGUUAAAAGGGUUUAGGAUGAAAAGGGGUGGUUUGGGCUUAAGCCCAAACUCACACACAACACACACACACACUCACACACUACACAAACCCUAAAACACACACACACACACGGCAUGCAUAAAUACAUACACACACACCCACGACACCAAGGCCCUAAGGCCUCACAAAAACUAGCAGGGCUUUAAGCCCCUUUUUAAAUGGAACCGGCCCAAGGCCAGUUUAAAUAAGGCCCAAGGCCUUUGGGGAGGGUUUUAAAAAGAACAAGAAAUUAAAAAAAAAAAGGUUAAACUCAGUUUACUACCCUCAAAUUUCAUGGUUUUCAACAUUUAGUACAUCAAGUUUUUUUCGUCUCAGAGUCAUACCUAAAGUGUUAAUUUUGGGACAGUUUCAUACAUCCGUUAGUCAAUCUGUUAACUCUGCCGUUAAAUGAUGACGUGGCACCCACGUGGACAAUGACUGGGCGCCACGUGUCAUUAAAAAAAAACUAUUAAAAUAAUUAAUUACAUAAAGUAAAAAAAAAAUUCCGCAAAUCCCCUUUGUCUUCCCCACCCCGACCCCCCUCCCUUCUCCCUCUGCACAUCCGCACAUCCGCACAUCCAUCCUUCCCCCUUCUCCCCAGAUCCCCUGAAUUCAUCGGCAUUUCCAGCAAACAGCUGCAAACCAACACACAACACAAGCCAAAAUUAACCAAACCAUCAUUCAAUUUUCCACGCAUAAAAACAAAUCUUUCCACAUUUGCUACAUUGUAAGCCAAUAAAACACAAUCGAAAAGGGAAAAAAUGAACCUCUUCAUCGUCGGGCUUGCAAACAGUCUUAUCGAUUUCCCUGGUGUUCUCAAUCGUCUACGGGAUCUUCUUCACCGGCUGCUACAAAGCGCAAUUAACAACACUAAUUAGCUAAUCAAUCCUUUGUCUUCCCCACCCCGACCCCCCUCUCUUCUCCCUCUGCACUUCCACACCCCCUACCACCUUAUUCCAACGCGCCGCCUCAAAGACCAAGGAUCUAUGGAAGCAGCUUCUUCCACUCCUUCCCUGUCCUCCCAUUUACACCUGCUCCAAUUUCCCAUUUCAAUAACCCACAAAAAUCAUAAAAACACACCCACAAAACUUAUAAAAACAGAGAAACAGAGAAAUAGAGAAAGAGAGAGACCGCUGGGAUUGACGACGAAAACGAGGUCGCGAUGGGGAGCGGAGGAAGACCCAUUUUUCAGAAUGGAGCGGUCAGCGCACAGAUCAGGACCUUUGGGGAGCUCGGCUCUCACAGCCCAUGGUGUCGCCAUUGAAACUUUCACUCUUCUCACUGCCCAUGGUUUCGGUUUUGGUUCUGUCUAUGGAGGGGAUGGAGAAGACGAAGGGGGUGAAGGGAAUGGAGAAGACGAAGGGGGUGGAGGGGUGGAGAGGUGGAACCGUGGAGGGUCUUCCAGAAGGAAAAAAGGGGUUCUAGUGGGGAAGACGAAAGGGGAAGGAAAAAAGGGGGUUUUGGUUUUUUUAUGUUUUUUUACAUUAUUUAAUUAAAAUUUUAAUUUUUUUAAUGACACGUGGCGCCCAGUCAUUGUCCACAUGGGCGCCACGUCAUCAUUUAACGGCAGAGUUAACAGUUUGACUAACGGACAUAUGAGACUGUCCAAAAAUUAACACUUUAGGUAUGACUCUGGGACGAAAAAAACUUGAUGUACUAAAUGUUGAAAACCACGAAACUUGAGGGUAGUAAACUGAGUUUAACCCAAAAAAAAGAACUAAAGGGCUGGGGGGUUUUAACGGGCUUAAGGCCCAAGGGGAAAGGAAAAGGAAGGCCGGUGGCCUGGUUUUGCCGAGACAGAGAAGGCCGAAAAUUCGGUCGGAAAACCACCUAACUUUAAACGGCUAUAACUUUGUCACUACACAACGAAAUCAAGCAAGACAAAAACGAAAGUUGUAGCCCUCGAAGAGACGAAGAGAAUGAUACCUCACAUGACGUCUAACUCGCCAUGGUUUGGCCGGAAAAUUCCUCGAAAGCCGUCGGACUCGCCGGAAACUGGGUAAGAUUCAAAUGAGUAUAACUUCUUCAAUACUCAACGAAAUUAAGUGAAACAAAAAAGGAAAGUUGUACUACUCGACGAGACGAAGAGAUUGAUACCUUGCACGCCGGCCAACUCGCCGUGGUUUGGCCGGAAAUGGCCUCGAAAGUCGUCGGAGUCGUUGGGGGGAACUUGGGUGUUCUCUGGGUGUCCCGAAGCUUCGCCGAGACAGGGGAGAGAGAAGAAAGUUCCAGAGAUGAUGGUGGUGUGGAAGUGAGGGUGUGUGGUUUUGGUUCACGGGGAGAAGGAGGGAGUGCUGAGAAAGAGCACGGAAGAGAUAGAGAAAAGAAGAGAGAGAGAGAGAGACUGGAAAAACACAAGAAAAAUAAAACAAGGUGGGCCCCACAAGCUCACCAAUUAAGGCUUUAAAACAAUUUUUAAAUAAAAUGGGGUUGGGGUGUUUCAAGUUACGCCUCUCAUAAAUAACCACUUCAUAGUAUAAAGUCAUCCAUCGUCUAUACUAUAAGAGGGGUUUCCAAAACAUGUUCUAGCAUCCUAUCGUUAUCCAUCGAAUAGUCUACCAGUUCAUGAUUUUUAUAGAAAAUACGAUAUAUUAAAAUAUAGUUCAAUAUAGGUAAACAAUUAAUUCCUCACCAAAACACAAGACGCUAAUCAAUAUCUUAAAUCAUUAGGCUUCACAUAAAUCAAAUCAUAAAUUCGUAGGCAUGCUAAUCAUUUAUGCAAUUACUAUAAAAUCAUGUAAUUUUAGAAAUUGUCCACUCACAAAUAUUCCUUAGCAGAAGAAUCGCGCGAAUAAGGAUAUAGAAUUUCUCCACUAGCAACUUUACCUAAGCACAAAAAUAUAAUUAAUACAUAAAAUGAUUUUCUAAAAGAUUGGGCUUGAACUAAAUUAAAUAAGGGAAAUUGGGUUGGAUGGGUUUAGGGUUAAAAGGCCAUUAGGGUGUCAAUUGGGGUUUGGGUUUUAACCCAACCCAUAUGCACACACACGGGCACAAGGCCCUAAGGCCUCACUAACAGAAAACAGGGCUUUAAGCCCUUGAUUUAAACCGGCCCAAGGCCACUAAAAACUAUAACUAAAAAUAAAAACUAAAUGGGUUAGGGUACUGGGCUAAGGCAAAACGGGCUUGGGGCCCGAGGGAAAGGGGAGAGGCCAAACGGCCUGGUGUCAAGGAAGAAGAAGGCCGGAGCUGCUACAGCUCCGGUCACCUGAAAACUAAGGUUUCAAGCUCCGAUCUAGGUACAACCAUGAAGAACAAGAAGAGAGAAAGAGGUUGCUACCUUCCAAACACCGUAACUCGGUCGAAGGUAACCGGAAAAAGCUCCCAAGGUCCACUGUUCGCCGGAAAAUGGGUGUGCUCACCCACAACGGUUCCGAAGCAAAAACCUACGUAAAAAUGUAAGGUUCAAGCUUCUAAAUUACAACCAAACAACAAUCUAACAACGAGAAGGAAAGAUUCUUCUAACAACGAGAAGGAAAGAUUCGAAACUUACUCCAACGAAAAAGGGAAGGAAAGCCCACCGGAGCUUUGCUCCGUGUCGUCAAUCUCGCGGGCAGAGGGGUCCUGGUUCGUGGAGAGUCUCUCCUAGUGGUGCUAAGGUCCUCGAGAGUCCAAGGAGAGAGAGAGAGAGACGAGAGUUUGAGGGAGAGAGGGAGAGAGGAAGAAAGAGAUGCACGGGAGAGUUGAGAGGGCUACGGGAGGGAGAGAUGAAGAAGAAGGAGGUCACGGAGUGGGGGUCAAAAAGAGAGAAAAAGAGAGGAGGUUGAUGAUUGACACGUGGCAAUGAAGUGGAAAUAACAAAUUUUCCAAUUAUUUUGAGGGUUUUUUAACAUACUAAUUAAAAAAAUUAAAAACAAAAACCCUCCAGCAAGGUUAAUUAGCAAAAAUUAAAUAAAAAACCCUCCGGCAAAGUUUGUCACAAAAAAAGCAGAUAACCCUCCACCAAGUUGUCUAUAAAAUGAAAAAAAAAAAAAAAAAAAAAACCUCCAGCGAGGUUAAUUAGCAAAAAUUAAAGAAAAAACCCUCCGGCAAGGUUUGUCACAAAAAAAAACAUAUAACCCUCCACCAAGUUGUCUCUUGAAAAAAAAAAAAAAAAAAAAAAAAAAAACCCUUCCAGCAAGUUGUAAUCCUAUAAAAUCGAGGGGAAGCCUCACUCAUAAUUCAUUGAGCUGAGAGUUUAUUCAAAUCAUUCAUCCUAAGCAUUUCCUUUUUCUUUCAAAUGGCGUCCAACUCUUCCAGCUCUUCCAACGUUUCCAACUUUCUUCCGAUUAAACUUGACCCUACCAAUUACCCUCUCUGGCAAGCCCAGAUGCUUACCUUGCUUCGUAGCAGGAAUCUCGUCUCCUUUGUUGAUGGCACUAGCAAAUGUCCUCCUGCCUUUCUCAAAGAUGAUGAGGGCAUUUUUACUGAUACUGUGAAUCCGGAGUUUGAAGCAUGGAUUCAACAAGAUAAUAUGGUUUUGUCCUGGAUCAAGAGCUCUGUUCAUCCCACUGUGUUGGAUGCCGUAAUCUGGAAAACCAGUUCUCAUUCUGCGUGGACCUGUCUGCGCGAAAGCUAUGAUUUGCAGCCCACUGGCCGUCUUCUUCAACUUCGCAGUGAGCUGAUGAACACCCACCGUGGCGACUCCUCCAUUUCUGAGUUUCUCAGUCGUGUCAGUUCCCUUGCUGACGGCCUCUCCUUAUCUGGUGCUCCUGUUUCUGACUCAGACAUUGCUGCCAUUGUUCUCAACAAUGUUGGCCCUGCAUGUGAAAGCACCGUGGCUUCUGCUCAGGAUCGUGAUGGGGCCAUAUCUCACAGUGCUUCAGAGGCCCUUCUGCUCACUGCUGAGCGGAAACAAAGGAUGCAUACUGUCUUCUCUGCUGAUACUAGACCCACUGCUCCCACUGCUGCUCGUGGCCGUCGUCCUGGCACCUUACGCGGUCGUGGCAAAGGCUAUAGAGGUAUUCGUGUUGUUAUGAGUACUCUGUUUUCAAUCCUCUUUUUUUCUUCUUUUUUGUUUUGGUUUGGCCUCAUUUUCAUCUUUGUUAUAGGCAUAAGUGCUAGUUCAGGAAUGCCUCACUUUCCACCACACAAGUGGCACUCGAAGGAAUCGGAGAGGCCAUUGCCGACUUCAGAGCUACUUGCUCAACGAUUCAAGAAAAACUUAUAUGUCAAGCCAUAUAACAAGUCUAAUGUGGAUUGGACUGGAAGAAUAGCUUAUGCAGACCAUUCUACAUAUAGAUGGUGCGCUGUUGCUUUGCCUGACGAGAACCAAUUUCCACCUUCUGUCAAUCUUAAGCCCAUUUGUUUGGAGUCCACUGAGCCGAAGGUUGAAGAAAAUCGUCUAGCUUUAAUCAACACUAGUCUAGAUGAAGGUUAGUACUCUAACAUUUCUUUUAAUGCGUUUAUCUUUGUAUGUUGUUACUUGGGUAGUGUGGAUAUGUUUGGUUUUGUUGUUCAUGGUUGAUGCGUGACAGAAGGCGGUGAGUUGGAAUGGAAUUGGCUAAGGAGCCCUGCGGUAUCUAUAGCAGAAAAUGUGCUGGAAGACUUGAUUUCUUCUUUUAAACACAUGAGGAAUGAAAUGAAGUGCGGAAAGCCCACUUUGAUUGCUAGAGUGGGGAAAGUACUUUUUCGUAGGUGAGAUUUCUUCCUUAUCUGAGUCAUUUAGUUGAUUGUUUCAUGCGAUUAUCCUUUUUACCUUUAUGUUGUUCUUUUAUCCGCCUCGGAAUACUGGUUGAAGUAGAACAAAAUAAUAGUCGAUAAUAUGAUAGAAGGUUACAUUUGGCAUUUUAGUUUAGAAGGUAGGAUGCCAAGUUGGACAGUGAAGCAGGAUUCUAUAACUCUGCCCUUGAUUUUCGAUACUUGAUACAAUAUUAUAUUGUUAUCGAUGCUUAAUUACUGUCAAUCAUCUCAUACUUCAUAUCAGUUUUGUACAAGGACAGUGGUAUAACAAUUUUUGUUAAAAUCUUUGAAUCAGGAGCCCUUUAGUUAACAUGGAAGACAUCAGAACAAAUUUGUGUACUGAAAUCUUGAAACAGUGGAGACGAUCAUUGUACACAAACAUUCCUGUUUCAUAUAAGGAAAGGAUUGUGAACGAAGUUGUCCCGAAAAUUGGAGUUGAUUUCGAAGGGGAGAAAGAUACAUACCAAGUAAAGGUAUUUCUUUUAGACACAUCAACUUACUGAGUUCUGAGUUCAUGCUUUCUACAAUUCUGACUUUUGCUAUUGACUCACUAAUCUAUGUCCUUCUUGUAUAGUUGUCUGAUUCCACCAGACCAGAUGCAACUCUCUCCUGCAAAUGCCGUGUAAUGAAAGAACAUGGAAAGUUACAACCCUACAAGGCAAGUUUUCGAAUUCCUGCGAACUAAAUUGGAUGAAAUGGUAAAUGGUACAUGAUGCAUCAGUUCCAUGAUGGAGUUGUCAUGAUACUGAUUAGAUAUAAUCUACUGUUCACAUUUCCAAUUUGUGGAAUAAUGUGCGAGCAGCAUUUCCACAUUGUUAAUACCUUAAUAUAUCCGUAACUCUUCCUCUUAAGUUUUCCUGUUGCUUGGCGUAGAGAUUGUUUACUAAGACUUACAUUGCAUUGCCAACUUUGUUUUAGAUUGAACUGAAUCAACUGCGUAACAUGGUCGUGGAUAUUUCAUGCACUACCAAAAAUCUGGACCUGAGACUGAUGCUAUGCACGAAGAGACUCGUCACAGAUCUGACUGUAAGCUGCUUCACCCAGUACCCUUCUUGUUUCAGCAAAGCAAUUAGUUAUAACCUAUUUAUCAUGGAGCCACAAUCAAAACAAACAACAGAAUAUUUUCGGUAAAUGUAACUGGACGAUGAGGUUUAAACCAUAUUGGAUGCAUUCCUGAACUUAUGCAGCUUGAAAUGAGGUUUUGUGAUCAUAUGAAUCGUUGCUAUUUCAGGACGAUGAGAUGCAAAGCAUUUGGGAUCUGAUUAAUUCCGCGAUUCUAGAUCCAGAUGUGAAGGGCGGGUUGAGAUGGCCUUCGGGAAAGGAUUCUUCCGGAGAUAAAUACAAAGUUGAUGGGGUUUGGCACUUGAUAGCUAAUACGUAUAAAAAUUCAUCGUUCAGACUGAAAGUCAGACAUGCGGAUCGAUUUGAUUUUAGAACCCUAUCUGGGGAAGCUACUUGGGAGACAAGUCUGAUGUUGAAAAAGGUCCUGUCAAAGUUGGAGGUAAACGCUGCCUAUUCUCUGGGACAACUUCUUUUACUUCAUUUGCUGAAAUAAAAGAUUUAUUUGAGAAGGUUUAUCGUGUGCUGAAAUCUCCUUUUCUCCAAUUUUCAGGAAGAGAAUGCCGAAGCCAGCUCGGUUUCUGAGAUACUGAAGGAAGACAUGCAUCUGAUAUGGGACAACUUCUUGAGCUGUGAACGUUUCCUGACAUGAAAAUGCAUGUUGUAAAUCAGGGAUUUGCUUUGUUUAAUUAGGUGUUUGUGAUUUCAGGAUGUUAAACCUUUGUAGUCGUAGUUAAGUGCUUAUUGGGAGAGUGAUUUGCUUGCUUAAUCUAGGUGUUUGCGAUAUGAGGAUGUUAACUUUUGCUUGAGUAUGUAUUAUUUUAGGAGGUUCUACCCAAAGUACAAUUGAUAAUUGGUGGAGUGUCUAUUUACUCUUGAGGUUCUACAAUACCUUCGACGAAGCUAUUGCAAGGUCUUUUAGUUUUUUAACGACGGACAACAUUCAGCAUCACACGUUAAAGAUCUAAAUGUUUAUACAUUAAGUUGUCCUUUGGUUUUUUUAACUUUCUGAUGGCGACGAUGAAGGGUUUUUUUUCUUCAUAUUGAUUUGUUGUCAUAGCAUAAGAGUUUUCUUCAAAUUGAUUUUUUUUAAUAAUGAAUAUCCUUUUUUCAAUUGGUUUUUUUAUUCAAGUGGCACAAAUUAUUCGAAAACUUGCCUUUUUUUCAAUUAAUUUAAUUUCGAAUCGGAUGAAUUGAAGAAAAUUAACGAACAUAUGAAACACCACAACCCCAUUUUAUUUAAAAAUUGUUUUAAAGUCUUAAUUGGUGAGUCAAGGGGGACCCACCCCUGAUUUCUGUCCCCAGCCUCCCAUCUCUCUCUUCCUUCUUCUUCGUCUCUCUCCCCCGUAACUCUCCCUUAGCUCUCUCCCUCUCAGCUCUCCCGUACCUCUCUCCCUCAACCUCUCGCAUCUCUCUCUUCCCCCGGACUCACUAGGACCGAGUCACCAUCGAACAGAGGCUCGCAACGAACCCCGGACCCUGCCCUGCGAGUUCGACGGCACGGAGUAAGCUCCGGCGAGCACCGCCCAUUUCGAGGCCAUUUCCGGCCAAACAAAGCGAGUUGGCCGGCGUGUAAGGUAUCAAUCUCUUCGUCUCCUUGGGUACUACAACUUUCCUUUUUGUUUCACUCAAUUUCGUUGAGUAUUGAAGAAGUUAUACUCAUUUGAAUCUUACCCAGUUUCCGGCGAUUCCGACGGCUUUCGAGGCAUUUUCCGGCCAAAACACGGCGAUUUAGACGUCGUGUGAGGUACCAUUAUCUUCGUCUCUUCAAGGGCUACAACUUUUGUUUUUUUUCUCGCUUGAUUUCGUUAAGUAUUGACAAAGUUAUGGCCGUUUAAAGCGAGUGUGGUUUUCCGGCCGAUUUCCGGCUUUCUCUCCCAUUGGGUCCGGCGACCCACCAAAACCCAAGGCUUUGGGCCUUCCUUGCCGAGCCCAGCCCUUUUGUGAGGCCUUAGGGCCAGGCUUUAUGUGUGUGUAUUAGGUGUGUGUGUGUGUUAGUUGUUUGGGUUUGGGCUUAAGCCCAAACCACCCAUUUUCACCCUAAACCCUUUUAACCUUAGAACCCUAAAAUCAAAACCCAAUAAAUCCUAAUCCUAUUUAACCUAAACCCUAAUCCGGAUUUCAAGCCUAAAACCCGUUAGACCUAAUUUGAUCGUUGACCUCCGGUCAACAUUGACUUUAAAGUUGACUUUUCGGGUUUUCGUCCGGGACCCUUCUUAGGGUAAUUCGACGUUCUGAAUCCGUUUCCAAUGUCCGUUUUCCCAAAUUCAAUUGCUAUUAUAUAGUUUUAUUUAUUGGACUCUUUAAUGUGCUUAGGGGCAAUUAUUGUGACGUUUCCGUCUUUGCUAGUGGCGCAGCUUUUGGCAACUAAGUACUGUGAGUGGACCCCUUCUAAAAUUACAUGAUUUCAUAGUUUAAUUGCAUAAUUGAUUAGCAUGCCUACAAAUUUAUGAUCUGAUUUAUGUGGAGCUUGUUGUUUUAAUAUAUUGAUUAUCGUCUCGUGUUUUUGGUGAGGAAUUAAUUGUUGGCCUAUUUUGAGCUAUAUUUUAAUAUAUCGUAUUUUCUAUAAAAACCAUGAACUGGUAGACUAUCUGACAGAUGACGAUAGGAUGCUAGAACAUGUUUUGAACCCCUCUUUAUAGUGUAGACGAUGAUCGGUAACCUACGCUAUGAAGUGGUAUUUACAAGAGGCGUAACAUUUUGUGCGUACCUAGUGGACACUAUGCCGCCUGGGGCGAGGAUCUGGUGUUGGCAUUUAGGCCGGGAGAAAUAAUCCCUAGCUACGGGCUGAGGGACAUGAAGAGGCAUUGGGCCGGGUGGUAGUUAUCUCUGGCUACGGGACGAUUUAUGAUGCGUUUACUGUUUUGAUUUCCGCGAUGUUAUUCCGCGAUAUGGCUUUUUGAGAUACUUUGGCAUGCUAGGAUUUUUAUUAAAUCAAUCACUUAUUAUGCUAGUAGUUUUCAUUUAUAUAAACUUUGGGGGUUAGUAUCUUGAUAACUGUUUUAUUAUUAUUGUAUUUAUAAACUUGGUCCACUCACCUUUGUUUUGUGCCCCCAUUCAGGACUUAGAAUCAAGGCACCUAAUCCCAGCGUCAAGAUACUUCCGCAGCAGCAUCUUCGGAUCCUCUCGAAUGUAGGACUCACUCCUUUAUUCAUUAAAUUUUAUCCUAAUUCUUCGUAGUGAUUAGGUUUAGUUGUAUGCUCUGAGCACGUUCCUAAACUGUUAACUCAUUGUAUUUCAAAUUUCUAACCUUUAUUUAUUUCUUAUUCUUAGCUUUUGUAUCAAUUAAUGGCUUUUGUCACCCCCGGGUGUCGGCCAGCACGUGUCGGUCCUGGUAUUCGGGGAAUAUCAGGGUCGGGGCGUGUCAACAUAAAUUAUCAAGGAGUGUGUGGAUAGCAUACCCCUUUACAUAUCUUAUUGAAGAUGCUCUAAAAAUUAAAUUAAAAUAGAAUUUCAUUUUCAUAAAGCUAAAAUAAAAAAAAUAAAAAACCUUCCAGCGAGGUUAAUAAGCACAAAUUAAAGAAAAAACCCUCCGGCAAGGUUUUCCACAAAAAAGACAUAUGACCCUCCACCAAGUUGUCUCUAAAAGGAAAAGGAAAAGCAAAAAAGUAUCUAAAAGGCAAAGAAAAAAACCCCUCCAGCAAGUUGUAUGAGAAAAAGAAAAAUAAAAACCCCAUCCGAUAUAACGACGGGAAGCCUUACUCGUAAUUCAUUGAGCUGAGUAUAUUCAAAGCAUUUUCAUCCUAAGCAUUUCCUUUUUCUUUCAUAUGGCGUCUAACUCUCCAGCUCUUCCAACGUUUCCAACUUUCUUACGAUUAAACUUGACCCUACCAAUUACCCUCUCUGGCAAGCCCAGAUGCUUCCCUUGCUUCGUAGCAGGAAUCUCGUCUCCUUUGUUGAUGGCACUAGCAAAUGUCCUCCUGCCUUUCUCAAAGAUGAUGAGGGCAAACUUACUCUGAAUCCGGAGUUUAAAGCAUGGGUUCAACAAGAUAUUAUGGUCAUGUCCUGGAUCAAGAGCUCUGUUCAUCCCACUGUGUUGGCUGCCCUAAUCGGGAAAACCAGUUCUCAUUCUGCAUGGACCUGUCUGCGCGAACGCUAUGAUUUGCAGCCCACUGCUCAGGGUCGUGAUGAAGCCAUAUCUCACAGUGCUUCAGAGGCCCUUCUGCUCACUGAUGAGCUGAAACAAAGGAUGCAUACUGUCUUCCCUUCUGAUACUAGACCCACUGCUC
rnacentral:lncRNA from 1 species